rnacentral:rRNA from 1 species
CCUACGGGAGGCAGCAGUGAGGAAUAUUGGUCAAUGGACGCAAGUCUGAACCAGCCAUGCCGCGUGCAGGAAGACGGCUCUAUGAGUUGUAAACUGCUUUUGUACGAGGGUAAACGCAGAUACGCGUAUCUGUCUGAAAGUAUCGUACGAAUAAGGAUCGGCUAACUCCGUGCCAGCAGCCGCGGUAAUACGGAGGAUUCAAGCGUUAUCCGGAUUUAUUGGGUUUAAAGGGUGCGUAGGCGGUGGGUUAAGUUAGAGGUGAAAUCCCGAGGCUCAACUUCGUAAUUGCCUCUGAUACUGUUCGGUGAGAGAGGAGUUGCGGUAGGCGGAAUGGAGGGGGGAGCGGUGAAAUGCUUAGAGA